rnacentral:rRNA from 1 species
AUUGAACGCUGGCGGCAGGCCUAACACAUGCAAGUCGAGCGAGCGGCGGACGGGUGAGUAAUGUCUGGGGACUGCCUGAUGGAGGGGGAUAACUACUGGAAACGGUAGCUAAUACCGCAUACUAUCGGAUAACCCAUAUGGGAUUAGCUGGUAGGUGGGGUAAUGGCUCACCUAGGCGACGAUCCCUAGCUGGUCUGAGAGGAUGAUCAGCCACACUGGAACUGAGACACGGUCCAGAAUCCUACGGAGGCAGCAGUGGGGAAUAUUGCACAAUGGGCGCAAGCCUGAUGCAGCCAUGCCGCGUGUGUGAAGAAGGCCUUAGGUUUGUAAAGCACGUUCAGUCGGGAGGCGUUACCCGCAGAAGAAGCACCGGCUAACUCCGUGCCAGCAGCCGCGGUAAUAC